rnacentral:rRNA from 1 species
UACAGAGGGUGCGAGCGUUAAUCGGAAUUACUGGGCGUAAAGCGCACGUAGGUGGCGACGUAAGUCGGGUGUGAAAACCCGGGGCUCAACCCCGGGCCUGCAUUCGAUACGGGCAGACUAGAGUUCGGUAGGGGAGUCUGGAAUUCCUGGUGUAGCGGUGAAAUGCGCAGAUAUCAGGAGGAACACCGGUGGCGAAGGCGGGUCUCUGGGCCGUAACUGACGCUGAGGAGCGAAAGCGUGGGGAGCGAACAGG